GAUGCACUGCACUUCACAAUGUACUGUACUUCACAAUUCAAUUCAAGUAUGAAGUGAAAGAGGUUGACUUACAUGAGAUUCUGCAUAUUUACAGAGAACAAAGACAACAGGAGGUGAAGAGACGUCAGGGAGAUAACAGGCUUGGUAUGGAAUUCGGGGAUGAGCUUGGCAAGGGGGUGUAGGGCGUAGGCAUUAGCAGCUUAGCUCAGCGAGGGCAGCAAUCUGUGACUGACUUUUUCAGGCUGAAUCUAGGCCGAGCUCAAACCACUGCCUGAGUCUUGCCUUUUAUCAAAUAGGCUUCUGCUAGCACAAUCCCACCAUAUGAAUCAGGGGUGAAUUUUUGAUCCAUCUCCGACCAAUUCUAAAAUAAGAGAAAAAAGCAGUAUCUUUUUUAGUAAUAUAUCAACAUACAAUCAAAC